GGGGGGGGGAUAUAAAUGUGAGUGAGUGCAGGCAGGGGCUCAGGGAUCUGUAUCAGCCCUGUGUGCAGUGAUCACUAUGGUGUCCCACAGCUGCUGGCUGCCUCUACUCAUGCUCUGGCUUCCCGGUUCCUAUGGGCAGAUUGUGCUGACUCAGUCCCCAGAUUAUGUCUCUGUGUCACCGGGAGAAACUGUCACCUUCACUUGUAAAGCCAGUAGCAGUGUUGUCAACGCAUUAGCCUGGUACCAACAGAAAUCAGGGCAGGCACCAAAGCUGCUGAUCUAUGCUGCAAGUAUCCGACACACAGGGACCCCAGAGCGGAUCAGCGGCAGAGGGACUGGAUCAGGUUACACAGAUUACAGCCUUACAAUCAGCAGAAUGGAAGCAGAAGAUGCAGCAGAUUAUUACUGCCAGCAGUAUCAGAGCGACCCACACACACAGUGAUACAGAGCUGAACAAAAACCUUCCCCUUUAUGAAGAUCUGUGAAUACAAGAAACUGACAGUCAGCGCCUCACUGGCUUCAGUUCCGUUGGGUGCCGGUCCCACCAGUAAAGUGAUGCAAAUGCUCUUCAAGCUGUUGGAACACGGCUGUAUGUCAAACUAACUCACCAUCAUAAUAAUAUUUCCUGAAAACCUUCUGAAGCAAAUGUUUGAAGCUCCCAGUUUUAGUGCUGAGUCUGCACUUACCUCCUUAGUGAAUUAUCUGAAUCAGCAACUUCUAUCCCAGUUACAGCC